UACUAUAAAUAGUUAAUUGAGAGAUAAGAAAUAGUUUAACAUAUUGAUGUUUAGGUGUGUAUAUAUAAGAUACUUUUUUCCUUUUCGAAAUGGGUCGGUUGGUGCGUAUAAAAGUUAUGCGUACGCGUAGAAGAGAAUAUUAUGGUGGGUAUUAUUUGUGGUCUCUUGUUUAUAAUUUCAUCAGAUUAUUCGGUAUACCUUUCUCCACCAUAUUUAAUUUACAGUUUAUUUGAAAAAAAAAUUGGUUUCUGAAUCUUGCUUUAGUUAUUACUAGAGUAUAAGUUUAUAGACUUCUAUCAGUUACGUACAGCUAAACUGCUAAACAGUAAACUCUAUUAUUGGAUUCGUUUGGGUUUGGCGCGUUUUGGUUCUACCAGAAAUAUUGGUUUCAGUAAUAUAUGAUAAAUACAAUAAUUUGGGAUUUGAAGAAAUAUAAUAAUUUGAUGUUUGAUAUUUAUAGUGAGCUUGUUUCAUGAAAUUUUAACGUAUAAACGGGCCACUCGUUUCGGUUUUGAAAUAUCUCUGCUCUUUCUAUAUAACAUGCAUGUGAUCUCGUGAAAAAAACCUAUGGGCAAUUCUAUUAUUAUUGUUUAAUUUUUAAUGACUAAAAUGUUGGGUCCGAAAAUUUGUAUAUCUUUCUAGAUUAAGAUUUAAACUAUGUUUUCUAAAAAAAAGAGAUUUAAACUAUGUUAAAUUAACUUUUAUAGAAAAAACAGAUUUUUCCCCAACGAAAACUGAAUUUCCGAUCCUUCAACCCUUACUAAAUCUAAAAAAUUUAAUAUCUUCGAUGAUAGGCAAUUCUAUUAAAUAACUUAUUAAACAUGUAUGUUUUAAAUCAAAAUUGUGUUUGGUAUGUUAUAGCAAACAAAUUGAAAGAUUAACACAAUCAUUUUAAAAGGGUUUUGGUUUUGGAUAGGUGAUGUCAAGUGUCAGAUUUUAACGUUUUCUUUUGUGUUGAUGAGUUGAUCACCCUUCUCCGAAAUAGAUAAAAUUAUUUGAGAAAAUUAAGAAAAAAGGAAGAAAAUAAAAUUUGAGGACAUGGUGAAAUUGUGAGUAAUUCGUGACGAAAAGGGACUUCAGAAGAGUUGAUGUGGCUGAGACAAGAAGGAUGAGGAGAUGUUGACGUGAGAGGUCCUUUUGAGAAUACUUCAUUUCACAGCUUGCACUCUUCUUCUGUGUUAUUGAGUCUUAUGACCCACUCUUCUUCUCCAUAAUUCAUUUUGUUUUAAAUCGGUUUCUGGAUCAAUCUUUACGAUUUGUUUUAACACUAGUAUUUGUAUUUUUAUGGUCCACUCUUCGCUGUUCUUCUGGUAUUAUUGAUAUAGUUUGUAUAAAAGUUAUUCGUAUACACUGUUUUAGUUUUUUGACGUUUUAUGUUUGGAUAUUGGAUAUGCUUUAUUGGCGAACCAAAAUAAACACGUUUCUGCUGCAAGAAACUCAAAAGAUAAAGUAAAGCCAUUAAUUAGGCAACUAAUUUUAUCAAGAAACGGUGUGUUUAACCUGACGAUGCCUUCAAGCAGUCGAUGGUAGGAGGACGGACACUGGAAAGGAAGAGAAAGUGAGAUGUCACGGAUUGUCUGUCUUCUGUGUUUGGCCUUUUCACCAACCUUAUCGACUCGACCACCAUCCCGCACGCACACUACAGAAAGUCUAUAGUAUACCAUAAUCUUUUAAUUUAAUAUUAAUAAUUGAGGAAACAUAGAUUUCUAUGCAUGGGAAUGUCACUUCAACUAUCAUGUCGUCUGACACAUAAUAUCACACGUUCGGUAGUCGUCAUUUCACUAAACUCUAUGUUAAGUCAAAUCAAAACUUGCACCCAACUUAGAGUACUGUCCUAACUCGUAACUAUUAGACGUUUUUUGGUUUUAUCGAUAAUAAUAUAAGAGACGAUGAAAUGUGAACGUAGUUUCCUAAAUUGUAGAUCUUGAUCGCCAUUAACUUAGAGCUAGGUUAAAGCCUGCUAUCGAAAAAUUUGCUAUGCUUUACGGAGUGUUUUCAAGAUAUCUUCCUCGUGAAUUACGACACUUUUUAUUCUAAACAAAGGAAAAAAACGCAAUUAAGAGAAAAAGUGAUCAGGAGUAGUGAGUUCUUUAGCCAGCUGUGAAGUGUUGUUGUUCACUUAACAGCUGUUGUGUAGCUAAUCGCCAACCUGGUUAUCUCUUUUACUUUCUUUUGUUCCCAUCCCAAUCUAUUUAUAAUAGAUUCUAUGGACCUAUAUGUGGUUUGUGUUUAUAUUUUCAAUUGGCUUUCUUUUCUUUAAAAAGAAGUUGAGGAGAUAUGAAGCUAAAAAUCAGUUUUAACCUCGUCCUUGUAUUUGUCAUUAUUCUCAAUUUGUGUGAAUAGUAAUACUUAAACAUAUACAUGUAAAUUGAUAGGUAAUUGAUAUUUCGGUUAUAUGCAGAACCGAAUAGAUAUUGAUCAAACAUGUGUUUGGAGCCGCAAAUAUGUAAAAGUUCCCAAUUUUCUAAUGAUACUAAUUCAGUUAAGAGGACGUAGUAUAUGUAAAAGUUUAUAAAUAUUUUCAUAGUUUGUUAAUUACUGGGUCAGAAAUGAAUUGUAUGCUUUGAAACCCUAAACAUUCAGGGCCGAUUCUAUUUAUAUGAGGUCAAAUGUUACAUUUGUUUAUAAGAGCACCUCGACUUCAAAAUAUUACUUUACAUAGAAUACAUGUUCACUCCACAAAUAAUAUAUUGCGAAAAGAAUCUCCCACUUUCGGAUAAAAUCUUAAAUAUGUACCUGAGUUAUCCGAACAUAUUCGGUAUAAUACAUCAAGGAAUUGGUGGAAUAUUAGGUGAUAUGAUUACAGAGUUUCCAGCUGUAGCCGCCGCCAAAAGAGUCGAAAUCGAAUUAAAAAUAAGUUUGGAUUAGCUCAAACUUGAGCAUAAAAAGUUAAAAACAAGUGAAACAAACAAACAAUAGCUGCAUGCAUCAAUCAUCAUCACUCUUUAAAGUUAGAUAGUAACUAAUUCGUACAACAUAAAUAAUACUAAUAAGUCUUGAUUAUCUAUUUACGGUCAUUUGCACUAACAGAUGCAUAUCCAAAUAACCAGUUCGUAUUUACUUAACUCUAGAUUUAGUUUGUUUAAUAAGUUGUUCAAAUAAAACCUAAAUGAUGGUAUGAUAGUAUUGAAUAACGAAUGCAAUGAUCAUUUUUAAGCAUUUGAAAAUACGUUUUAUCUCAAAUAUAUUACCAUCUAAUUUUUCAUAUAGUAGUAAAAUAUUAAAAGCUGAGAGGCUAAUAUAAAAACAAAAAUUGUUCAAAAUCCUUAACCUUUUUCUUUACUAAGCAAAAAAACAUAAAAACAACCAAGGAUGGCCUGCAAAAACGUAGAGGCAAACACUCCAAUACCAUAAUAAAAAGCUUGAUGCCAAACUGUAUCUUCUUUCUCUCUUCUCUUCAACACAAU